GGGCCCAUAUUUCAUUGGAAAGCAUUUGACUGCAGAUCAAGAGGUCACCGAUUCGAAGCCGGUUGGGCCCU
rnacentral:tRNA from 1 species